ensembl:lncRNA
CACGCUGGAUUGCCGACGCAAGGCGGUUCUUGAAAGGUUCUUCAGCAGCAGGCAAGACUUGGGUGUAUCUUCACGCUGACUUGAGCCUGAAGGCUGUUCCUGCUCCGAAGGCUCGUCUUCUACCACAGCCAGUCGGGAUGGGACUCCACACAACUUUCUGACUCCUGUACAGUCGUUAACUUGGAAUUGCUGUUGACCAGCUGCGCACGGCAGGACAGCUCCUGACCGAAAGGCCUUCUAUGGGAUUUUGCAUGACUUUCUGAUU